GCCCAGGUGGCGGAAUUGGUAUACGCGCUACCUUGAGGUGGUAGUGCCGCAAGGCUUGGAGGUUCGAGUCCUCUCCUGGGCA
rnacentral:tRNA from 1 species